GGAAGAGCUGCGUGGAGCUAUCAGUCGAAGCUUGCGUGCUGAACUCAACCUGGAGCUCGUUGGAGGACUUUGCCCCAGAUGUGAGCGGUGUGAGGACGAUGGUCUUUGCCGAUUGAAGGGAUAGGGUUCAAGACCAAGGCUUGUGAAUUGAGACCGUUGGGCUGUGGGCUCUUAAAGGCUGUCCAGGCUCCGGACUGCAUUGCCCAAUGUCUACGGUACCCGAAGCAACGUUCUGUCCGCGCACCGGCUCUUUCAGGACCGUAGGAGGGAUCGCGAGCGCGUCCCCGAGGAACAUCCGCAGCUUGAGGGAACCGCAGAGUCAGAUAUGAAAUCCAAUUGUCAGACCAAGAAGUUGUCACCAAAAAAUGGCAUUUUUGACAGAGGAUUACCUCAGCGGGAAAUAAUGGAAAUUUGUGAAAAACACAGCCUUGAAUGUUUAUGUUUUAGAGGUGAUUGGGAAAGCAAAGAUCAGUUUGAAACAUGACAGGAAAAUCAGGAAGAAUGUUCUAAGCAGGUUAUACGCACCUGUGAAAAAAUCCCCACUUUUAACCAGCACAUGGCUUCUAAUGUGCAUCAGAGACUUAAUACAAGAAAGAAACUGAAUAAACUUAAAGGGUGUACAAAAGCCUUUUGUUCUGGCUCAGACUGUAUUCAACAUCAUUUAAUUCACACUGGUGAAAAAUUUUGUAAAGAUAAAGAAUGGAUUUUUUUUUUUGACCGUGCCUGCAACAUGCCGAAGUUCCCAGGCCAGGGAGUGAACCCAUGCCACAGCAGUGACAGUGUUGGAUCCUUAACCCGCUAGGCCACCAGAGAGCUGUGGAGGAAUUUUUAAUGGUCAUAUAAUUAUAUAAACUGUAUUAGACAUAAUUUUUUUUUGUCUUUUUAGGGCUGCACCUGUGGCAUAUGGAGGUUCCCAGGCUAGGGGUUGAAUUGAAGCUACAGCUGCUGGCCUACAGCCACAGCAUGGCCAGAUUCAAGCCACAUCUGUGACCUACACCACAGCUCAUGACAAUGCCAGAUCCUUAGCCCACUGAACGAGGCCAGGGAUCAAACCUGCAUCCUCAUGGAUACUAGUCAGAUUUGUUUCUGCUGAGGCAUGACAGGAACUCCGAUUUUUUUAUUUUUCCAUUAUGGUUGGUUCACAGUGUUCUGCCAGUUUCUUCUGUACAACAUAGUGACCCAGUCACACACAUAUAUACAUUCUUUAUUGUCAUUUUGAAUUGUUGAGCUUUGCUUUGCAGGCAGUUACAUCAUUUGAAAGUUGGCUUGAUUCUUUUGAAGCUUUUGAGAAGCUCCAAAAGAUCUGUCCAAAGUGUUUGCUUUAGAGCUAAUUUAGCUCUCCUCCUAAUACGUAACUCCUCUGGGCUAUCUGCUAAAUAAUAUGAGUGACCGUCAGGGUCAGAAUUAGAAAAUCUAUUUGUUCUGUAUCAGCACUGGCCAUUUUCCAACUAGCAACUCCUUAAUUAUACUUUGCUCAAUCUUGUAGAAUCACAUGCUACUUCAUAUUCAGAAAGCUUAAAAAUGACCCUUUUGCACAUUUCUGAAACUCUUUCUGCAUAGCUCCCUCCUCUGCAUAACUGCCCUGCAACUUGCAGGCACGUGAGUCUCUUUGAUCCUCACCUUCUCAAUACAGUAACAUAAGGAUACUGUGUUUUGGACCCUUUCUCUUUGUCUAGAAUAUGUCUCUAGGUAGAAAGCAGGUGGAAACAAAUGUUGCUCACCUCAUUUGUUUCUCUUCUAUCAGGGAGCUUUUCCUAUCCAAACGGUUAACUCCAUCAUGGCUUCAGAGGAAGUCCAUAAUUUUUGCUUUUGGUGAUGUUAUGGGGAAUGAACACUCUCAUACAUUAAUGAUGAGACCGUAAAUUAACUUUCUCAAAAUUCGAUUUAGCAGUCUAAUCUGUAGGAAUAUAUUCUAUAGAAAUAAAAAAUACUUGCAAGAUUAAGCAUAUAAGGAUAUUAUAGCACCAGUCUGCAGCAACAAAGAUAUAACCUGAAUACUUCAUUUGGAGGAAAUGGGUAGGAUAUAUCAUGACAUUGCUGUUACACUGUUCCUGUUUUAUUCUGUGGGCAAUUUUUUUUUUAUGGCCACACCCACAGCAUAUGGAAGUUCCCAGGCUAGGGGUCGAAUUAGAGCUGUAGCUGCCAGCCUACACCACAACUCACAGCAACACCGGAUCCUUAACCCACUGAAUGAGGCCAGGGAUCGAACCUACGUCCUCUUGGAUACUAGUCGAGUUUGUUACCACUGAGCCACAGUGGGAACUCCCAUUAUUACUUGUAGCCUUUUCUUUUUCCUUAAAGACCUUUGAACACUUCUUGUAAGGUUGGUUUAGGAUUGAUGAGCUCUUAGUUUUUGCUCCUCUGAGAAAUUCUCUCUUCUUCAGUUCUGAAUGACAGCCUUUCUGGGUAGAGUAUCUUGAGUUGCAAUUUUUUUUCUAUUCAACUCUUUAAAUAUAUCGUGACACUUGGUUCUGAUCUGCAAAGACUCUUCUGAAAAAUCAGCUGAUAACCUUAUGGACAAUUCCCAUCUUCGUGACCCUUUGCUGUUCUCUUGCUGCCUUUAGAAUUCUCUUUUUAUCUUUCACUUUGCAUUUUUAAUUCUGACUUGCAUGGGUCUUUUGAACUCAUCUCCUUCGGGACUUUCUGUGAUUCUUGUACCUGGAUAUCUCUUUCCAUGUUCAGAGUAGGCAAGUUUUCAGUCCUAAUUCUGUCAACUAUUUCUAACCCUUUCUCUCUUCCAGGGACCCCUGUAAUGUGAAUGGUAGUAUGCUUGAUGCUGUGUCAGUGUCCUUUAAAUUGUCGUCACUAAUUUUUUUCUCUUUGUUCUAAUUGGGUGUUUUUUAUUAUUACAUCUUCCAGAUCGCUAAUGGAUUUCCUGUAUUUCCUAAUCUUCUGUAUUGCCUACUCUUCUGCUCUGACUGGUUCUUUUCUAUAUUUUCUGGUUCUUUAAAAAAAUUUUUCCUGGCUCCCAUCGUGGCCCAGUGGAAAUGAAUCCGACUAGGAACCGUGAAGUUUCGGGUUCUAUCUCUGGCCUUGCUCAGUGGGUUAAGGAUCCGGCGUUGCCGUGAGCUGUGGUGUAGGUCGCAGACGCAGCUUGGAUCCCGCAUUGCUGUGGUGUAGGCCAGCGGCUACAGCUCCAAUUGGACCCCAGCCUGGCAGCCUCCAUAUGCUGCAGGUACAGACCUGAAAAUGCAAAAAGCAAAAAAAUAAAAAAAAAAAUAAAAAUUUUUCCCGUGUUCAUUUGUUCUUUUUUUUUUUUUUGCUUUUUAAGGCCACACUUGCAGCAUAUGGAGAUUCCCAGGCUAAGCAGGGAUUGAAUCAGAGCUACAGCUGCCAGCCUAUACCACAGCCACAGCAACGCAGGAUCCAAGCCACGUCCGUGACCUACACCACAGCUCAUAGCAAUACUAGAUCCUUAACCCACUGAGUGAGGCCAGGGAUCGAACCUACAACCUCGUGGUUCCUAGUCGGAUUGUUUCCACUUCACCACAAUGGGAACUCCUGUUCAUCUAUUCUUUAUCCCAGUUCAGUUACUACUAUUGCUUUGACCUGUUUAUCAGGUAAAUUAUUUAUCUCUUUUUCAUUGAGGUUAUUUUCUUACUCUUUCAUUUCAAACAUAUUCUUCUCUCUUCUCAUUUAAGUUUCCCUAGCUCUAUGAAAUUAGAUGAGAAAGUUACCUUUCCCAGGCUUAAAGGUGUGUCCUUGUGUGAGAGGGUCCCUGUGCAGUCUGCUGUGCCCAGUGGAUUUGUUGGGAGAGCUGGAUCUGAAGUGAGCAUGGGCUGCAUUUUCCCCCGGGGUGUUGUGGCAACCCCCACCAUGGUGGGCAGUAGGGCUGGAGUUGGAGGGGCUAGAGCCACAUCCAGGUUCCAGCAGAGGCGUCUCCUAUGCUCAGUGACUAUUACAGCCCUAUCAGGGGUGGGCUGGGAGCCCGAGGGGCUGGAGCAAGAUCCCUUAGGUUUCUGCCGGGUGUGAUAGCAGUCUCUGCCUUGGUUUGGGAUGGGGCUGCCGUCUAAAGGCUUGUGGCUGCACCUCUGUGCUUGUCUUACUGUUUUCCCAGUGUGCCCACCUUGGUUAGAGGCUGAGUCAAGUCCAGAGAGCUGGCCCUUCCCCUUGCAAGUAUGCACAGAAACCUCUACUCUGCUGAUGGCCGUCUUCAUCCUGGAGCUAGUGUUUCUCCCUCCAGCGUGUCUGUGGGGCUGCUUGAGCUGGCAGUGGUUGCCUACAGCUUGCUCAGAGGCAGGGCCAGUAUCCGAACCAGCACCAUUUUCUCCAAAUGUGUGCGCUCUCAUUGGCAGUGGCAACCUCCACUUUGUGAGCAGGAACAAGGAGGGGAGGAGCAGGUGCCUGGUGUGGACUGGGGGAGCCCAUGGGAGCCAUCCUUGCAAGCUGGCCAGAGCCCCAGGUGGCUCCCGUCUGCUGUUUCCCUGCUAUGACUGGGCACAAGUGCGUCUCUGCACAUGCUCUUCGGUUGAGAGCAGAGUCUGGUGUCUUCGAGCACUGCAGUUAUCCUCACUGCUUUUCUAACCCACCAAGGGGACUCAUCCUCCUAGGCUCCCACAUACUAGGCACCGAGCCUGAGCUGCCUAAUACGUGGUUCACAGCCCUCUUUCCUCAGCCUUUGCUCUCCCCUCCUCUUCCAGGUCUCCUGCUAUGGGCGUGGGUCCCAGCAGAUCUCUCCUCCCUUCCUACCAGACUCCGGGUGGAUCUUUCUUUACAGCCUCAGUUGUAGAAGAGCUGUUCUGCUCGUCCGCAGGUUGAGUUCAAUGAGAAUCACUCUAUUGGUAGUUGUAGUUUUGAUGUGUUUCUGAGAGAGGGUGAGCCCAGUGUCUGCCUCCUUUGACAUCUUGAUCUCUCUCCUCCACAAGCGAUGUUUGCGUUAAACCAUGUUUACGGUAUAUAGGCCCCCUGAUUAUUCUGAAGCCAAGUGAUGAAAGUAGAAGGGGGUAGUUAAUGUGAAAUUAUGAGAGCAUUUUCUGCAAAUGAUGGUUUAACGUAUUAAUGUAAUAUAGUUGCCUCAUUGUGUUAUAAUUGAUAAAUAAAGGGAAUAUAAAGCAGUAAUACCUCCAUAUUGAUUCCUAUUAGGAUAAUAGUAAUGUUAGGCCAGGAGGAUGAUAUCAACACAAAUGCGUCUCCAAAUAAAUCGAUUGAUGGGGGGUAAAGCUAGAUUGCUGAGGCUUGCUAGAAGCCAUCCUACUGCUAUUAGUAGAAGCAGUAUUUGUAGCCCACAAACUAGAAUUAUAGUUCACCUAUAAUGCUGUUCAUAGUUGGAAUAUCUAAGGCAAAAUAGUGUUGAUAAUGUAAGGCUGUGGGCGAUUCUUCAGGCUGUAGCCUUGUGUGACUUCAUGAUGUUUGAGUAAGAAUGGCUAUACUUACUGGUGCUGUGUGGCUGAUGGCAGACCAUAAGAUGAGUGAUUUUAAGUCUGUUUGGCAGAGACAGAUGGAGCUGGUUAUGAUUAUUCCUCAUAAAGAUAGUGUAAGGAAAGGAUAUGCCAUUGAAUUCAUCAAGGCAUUUAGUAUGGUAGGUACUAAUAACAGGAAAAUAUUAGAUUAAGAAUUGGAUAUUGUUUAUGUUCUGUAUUGAAUUAUUAGAAAAUGUAAGGACCCUAUAGAUUUUGAUAAGAACUAGUACAAUGAGAGGUGGGAAGUUAUCCAAGUGGUGGGUACAAUAAGAGAUAAGAGUCCUGGAUUGAAUCAUCUUUUCUGAUUUCCCCACUGGGUAAUAAACUAUUAGGUUUUGGACUAACGUUACUUCAAAUAAUAUAUAGACGGGUUCCUGUUGUGGCUCAGUGGGUUAAGAACCCAACAUAGUGUCUUAAGGAUGUGGGCUCGAUCCCUGGCAUUACUCAGUGGGUUAAGGAUCCUGCAUUUCCACAAGCUGUGGUGUAGGUCACAGAUGCAGCUUGGAUCUGGUGUCACUGUGGCUGUGUUGUAGGCCGACAGCUGCAGCUCCUGUUCAACCCCUAGCCUGGGAACUUCCAUAUGCAGCAGGUGCAUCCCUAAAAAGACAAAAAAAAAAAAAUAGCAAGUAGAGUAAGAAUAAUAAGGGUGAUUAAAAGCCGUGGUACAACUAAUGCUUAUUAGGGCUAGGGUUUCUCUUCCAAUUAGGGAAAUUAGUAGGUGACUGGCAGUGAUAGUACUAGGUAUGAGUCAUAAGAUUAUGGUUAUUGGUUGAAUAAAGUGACUGAUGGUUUGGGAAUUACUAGUACAAGAAUAAGUGGUAUAGGUGUUCCUUGGAGCAGGAAAUGGGCCAAGGAUGCUUUUGUUUUAUGACAAUUACUGUUCCUGCUCAUAGGUGUACAGACAUUGCUGGGUUUAUUGAGAGUUGUGUAGUGGGUGCAAAUGAGUGUGAUAAAAGCUGUGAUAGAGGAGUUCCCAUUGAGGUUCAGUGGGUUAAGAAUCCAACACUGUUUCUGUGAGGACUCAGGUUCUAUCCUUGGCCUCACAAGGCAUUGCCGCAGGGAAGUCACAGACAUGGCUCUGAUCCCUGUUGCUAUAGCUGUGGAAUAGGCUGCAGCUGCAGCUCCAAUUUGACCCCUGGCCCAGGAACUUUCAUAUGCCACAGCUGC
rnacentral:lncRNA from 1 species